AUUUGCUUUUGAUCCUGCUUUGGAGUUGUUCUCUGGAUUUGCUCAGUUGUUGCUUUGCUUUUCCCUGGAAUGUCCGUGGGAUGUUCUGCUGUUGCUGCUCCUGCUUGCUUGGCCCCGGUGCUGUGGAGUUGAUCGGUAUGGGUGAGGUCUUUGUCCUGCCUCUGUUGUGUCGGCAUUCAGCUCAGCUCCGCUCCUCUCUUGGAGCUGCCCUGCUCUUGGAGCUCCCUACAGGCAAGUGCACCUUUACUGUGUGAGUUGGUUUACAGAACUUGCUGCAUUCCUUCUGGAUUCUGCUCACGGGAUGAAAAGAUGGAAAAGUGUGCACGAAGCAGUCAUUAAACAAACAGCCCCUUUCAUCCUUUGGAGCUCUUCUGAUGCAUCAAUGGGCAGUGGGAUGGAUGGCCAAAGCCUGCAGAAAGCCAAGAGCUGAUUAUUUCUACCUGAGAAUGAGACCCUAGCCUCUGAGUCCCAGGAGAGAUUUUUGAGACAACCCUCUCAUCCUUGUAAGGCUGUAAGUGUAGCAAGGAGAAUUGAUCCCUUCAUCUUGCAGCUUUAACAUGGCCACUACCAAGAGCUCUGCAAAUACUUGAGACAAAACUGACCUUUGGGCUUGGAAAAGCCCAGGGAUUCUGGACUUCCUUAAGUGUGGAAAACAAAUGUGUAAGAAAAGUCAGCAUUGGGUUUAUAGCUGAGUCUGUCACUGCAGCCUUUUAAAGACCGUGUUGGAAGAAACCCAGCCAAAAAGGCUGGUGUCAAGGAAGCAAGAGCUAGAGCUCUGUACUGAAGGACAGCAUUGCUUAGUUUUGUGGGUUUGCUAAAAAAAUCAAGCACUUUAUGACCUAAGACUUGGAAGCAGCAGGAAACAGAUGCAAGAGAAGUCUGUAUUGUACAGUGAGAGAGCCUCUGUACCUCCCCAGCAUAAACUGCCUCCUGACUCAUGGGAUCUGCUUCCUUCAGCCUCGUUCCUUGCUGGUUCAGAAGAUCCAGUUUCAGCCACAGGUGCUGAAACAUCUCGGUAAAGCUCAGAGUGGGGUGAGAAGCAGGAAGCCACCACCGAAGUGGACAUGAGUCCCUGUUUUAGCACUGCUUUGCACAAGAGGAAAAUCCCAGGAGGAGUCCAUGGCUAUUUGAGAGUUUGCAGCCAUUGUAGCCAAAAAGAGAUUGACCCCAGAUGUAUCCUGAAGUGCUGUGAAGAUCGAUGCACAACUGUCAUCCUUGUAGGACCCUGCAGAUGGAGCAGAGAAAUAAAAUGCAUGCUCAGUCGUCAUUCACUCAUUCCCUUGAUCACCUCUCCUAAAGAGGUGGCCUGAGUGUCACGAGAGAGAGGACAUCCUGACUCAACCCAGCCUGGCCAUAAAAGUACCAGGUGAUCCUGCUUUGUCAAGAUGGAGUUGAACUUGAUGCUCUCUGGAGGUCCCUUCCAACCCCUAAUGGUCUGUGACUAUAAGACAGAUGCCAGACUGUGCUGGAAGUGCAGAGAAUUCCCUGCUUCCAUGAAAAGCAGCAGGUAGGUGCUGCCUACCCUGUACUCACCAUUCAGUGAUGGUUUCUUCUGGGUGCUGUUGCCCGGAUGGAGUAAUGCUGGCUUGCUAGCACCUCACACUAGAGAUCUAUAUUCUGCCAUUUACUUCAAUCUAAGACUUUCUGUUUGUCUGACUUGACAGCAUUUGAACUCUUAAAUGUUUUUCAAGAAAAGAAUUAUAAUUCAUACCUGCCUGCAGUGAAAACUUGAGGUAUGGAACUUCUGAAUUAAAGUCUCCUUAGCAGCCUGUGUCCUCUGUAUUGAUCAU